AAGUAGUGUGACAUGUCCGUUUGGGAUUUACUCUGAUGAUGAAUUAUUUAUUAUUAAAUUGAUUUUGGGUAACGGGGUGUUACAAGAUG
rnacentral:pre_miRNA from 1 species